rnacentral:rRNA from 1 species
AGCGGAGGAAAAGAAACCAACAGGGAUUGCCCCAGUAACGGCGAGUGAAGCGGCAAGAGCUCAAAUUUGAAAGCUGGCUCCUUCGGGGUCCGCAUUGUAAUUUGCAGAGGAUGCUUCGGGAGCGGUCCCCAUCUAAGUUCCCUGGAACGGGACGUCAUAGAGGGUGAAAAUCCCGUAUGGGAUGGGGUGUCCGCGCCCGUGUGAAGCUCCUUCGACGAGUCGAGUUGUUUGGGAAUGCAGCUCUAAAUGGGUGGUAAAUUUCAUCUAAAGCUAAAUAUUGGCCGGAGACCGAUAGCGCACAAGUAGAGUGAUCGAAAGAUGAAAAGCACUUUGAAAAGAGAGUUAAAAAGCACGUGAAAUUGUUGAAAGGGAAGCGCUUGCGACCAGACUCGCUCGCGGGGUUCAGCCGGCAUUCGUGCCGGUGUACUUCCCCGCGGGCGGGCCAACGUCGGUUUGGGCGGUCGGUCAAAGGCCCUCGGAAGGUAACGCCCCCAGGGGCGUCUUAUAGCCGAGGGUGCAAUGCGACCUGCCUAGACCGAGGAACGCGCUUCGGCUCGGACGUUGGCAUAAUGGUCGUAA